rnacentral:rRNA from 1 species
GACGAACGCUGGCGGCGUGCUUAACACAUGCAAGUCGAGCGAGGACAUUUAGCAAUAGAUGUUCUAGCGGCGGACGGGUGAGUAACGCGUGAGCAAUCUGUCCCAGACAGGGGGAUAACAGAUGGAAACAUCUGCUAAUACCGCAUAAGACCACGGUUUCACAUGGGAUCGGGGUAAAAGGCGAAAGCCGGUUUGGGGUGAGCUCGCGUCCGAUUAGCUGGUUGGCGGGGUAACGGCCCACCAAGGCGACGAUCGGUAGCCGACCUGAGAGGGUGAUCGGCCACACUGGAACUGAGAGACGGUCCAGACUCCUACGGGAGGCAGCAGUGGGGAAUAUUGGGCAAUGGGGGAAACCCUGACCCAGCAACGCCGCGUGAGGGAAGAAGGUUUCGGAUUGUAAACCUCUGUCCUUGGUGAAGAAAGAGAUGACGGUAGCCAAGGAGGAAGCCCCGGCUAACUACGUG